UACGAAGGGGGCUAGCGUUGCUCGGAAUCACUGGGCGUAAAGCGCACGUAGGCGGAUUGUUAAGUCGGGGGUGAAAUCCUGGAGCUCAACUCCAGAGCUGCCUUCGAUACUGGCGAUCUCGAGUCCGGGAGAGGUGAGUGGAACUCCGAGUGUAGAGGUGAAAUUCGUAGAUAUUCGGAAGAACACCAGUGGCGAAGGCGGCUCACUGGCCCGGUACUGACGCUGAGGUGCGAAAGCGUGGGGAGCAAACAGG
rnacentral:rRNA from 1 species